rnacentral:lncRNA from 1 species
GUUGCAGAGAGCCAAGAUCGCACCACUGCACUCCAGCCUGGGCGACAGAGCGAGACUCCGUGUGAAAACAAACAAACAACAACAACAAAAAACCAAAACAAAACAUCUUUCAGAAAUAGUCCUGGCUUCUACAAGAUCCAAGGCACAGCUGAGUUUAGGUAGCCGGUGGAACCAAGAUCCACCUGAAGGAAUGCAGUCCUUUUUUGUUCCACAGAACCUCAGAAUUUAUAGUCCCUUCCCAAUAUUUUAGAAAGAUUUUGUUUUAUUGUUCUUUAAAAUUACGUUUGGCCUGACUGGUUCUGUGGAAGAAAUGCAGGAAACUGGACCUUAGGGAUUUUGGCUGUAUUUCACUCUUUACUGGAGGGCCUUCUUGUCAGGGUUCCUUGUAACACACUCCCAUAACAAACAAAUUGUGCUCAAAAUGCUCUUAGAAUAGGGAGAAAUUUUGCAGAGAGAGACCUCUAAAUGAAUUUAUAUUAUACAGUGUCAUAAAGUAGAGCUUCUGACACCAUCCGUAAAUUAUUGCUGACUUUAUCCAUGCUUUUGCUUUUAUCAUAGGCAAAAGGUUCAGCUACACUCUAUUCUCUUUUUAUUCAUUUAUGGAGCAAUACUGAACCAAACUUGGUGCCCUUUUCAGCCUCUGUCCCUGUGAGAACAGUGUGUUGCUUCCCUUCACAGUUUCGUCACCCAUUUGUACAUAUUUCCCUGCUAUAUUAGUUUCCUGUAGUUGCUGUAACAAAUUACUAUGGACUUGGUAACAACACAGAUACAUAUUUUCUCACAGUUCUGGAGGCAGUAAGUUCAAAAUCAGUAUCACUAGGCUGAAAUCAAGGUAUC